rnacentral:pre_miRNA from 1 species
UGAACUACUUACUUUAUGAAGUUAGAACGUUUGCCUACGUUUGCCGCUAGGGGCGCUGUUCCAACUGUAUAGAGUUAACUUUUA